GAUCCUGGCUCAGGAUGAACGCUGGCGGCGUGCUUAACACAUGCAAGUCGAACGAAGCACUUUAUUUGAUUUCCUUCGGGACUGAUUAUUUUGUGACUGAGUGGCGGACGGGUGAGUAACGCGUGGGUAACCUGCCUUGUACAGGGGGAUAACAGUUGGAAACGGCUGCUAAUACCGCAUAAGCGCACAGCAUCGCAUGAUGCAGUGUGAAAAAUUCCGGUGGUAUAAGAUUGGACCCCGUCG
rnacentral:rRNA from 1 species